AUUGAACGCUGGCGGCAUGCUUAACACAUACAAGUCGAACGGAAACGAUGGAGCUUGCUCCAGGCGUCGAGUGGCGGACGGGUGAGUAACGCAUGGGAAUCUGCCUUUUGCUGGGGGAUAACGUAGGGAAACUUACGCUAAUACCGCAUAAGACCUAAGGGUGAAAGCGGGGGACCGAAAGGCCUCGCGGCAAGAGAUGAGCCCAUGUUGGAUUAGCUAGUUGGUGGGGUAAAGGCCUACCAAGGCGACGAUCCAUAGCUGGUCUGAGAGGAUGAUCAGCCACACUGGGACUGAGACACGGCCCAGACUCCUACGGGAGGCAGCAGUGGGGAAUAUUGGACAAUGGGGGGAACCCUGAUCCAGCAAUGCCGCGUGUGUGAAGAAGGCCUUCGGGUUGUAAAGCACUUUCAGUAGGGAGGAAAAGUGCGUAGUUAAUAGCUGCGC
rnacentral:rRNA from 1 species